rnacentral:tRNA from 1 species
GCCGCGGUGGCGGAAUUGGCAGACGCGUUAGGUUGAGGGCCUAAUCCACAAUUGAGUGGGUGUGGGUUCGAGUCCCACCCGCGGCACCA